UACAUACAUACAUACAUACAUACAUACAUACAUACAUACAUACAUACAUACAUACAUAUGCAAUCUAUUUCCCCUCACCCCCAUCUGCAUUCAUGAAUCUAUGAGAUAGAAUAUAUCCUUUUUGUGAGUUUUGGUUCAUUUUUCACAUUUAGCAAAAUGCUGUCCCUUCUGGAGUUCUCAAAAGCCAUUUGAAAUUUAACAAGAAGGAGGUUGGGUUAGCCUGUUUGUAAGUGUGGAAUCUUGUUGAUUUUAAUAAACUGCCUUUGAAUCGUAUUUUAAAAAUACCUGUAGUAACAAUUAGCAUUCUGCUGUACACAGCAGCCCCUCCAAAUUUCUCCACCAUGAGCAUGCUUCCAUCACUGUUUAUUUAGUGCAUUCGAUAAAUAGCAUUGGUGUCUUUGAGGAGCCAGUAUCUCUUGAUGCCUCCACAGGAAAACAAUAUUGUCUCAUUGGUCUGCCACAACUAACAAACCUUUGAAUGGUGGGCUAUUUUUAAAAAAAGAAGAAACGCCUGGAAAUAGAAGUCUUACUUUUUACUCAUUCAAAAAGUUCUAUUGUGUUCAAAAGGAUUUCUAGCCUGUUUUCUACAGUACUGCUUUAUGUAAUUCUGUCUUUUCCUAUGUCCAAACAGAAUUGUUGUGUUCAGGUAUUAAAUAUGGAAAGGCAAGGAUUUAGGAACACAAGUGUAAAGCAUGGCUGAUUUAAGCAGUUUGAAGCCAAAUAUCUGCAUCCAGAUGAAGCUGGAAAAGAGCGAAUAAAUAAAUGGAUGAAAACACACCAGAAAGUAUGGAAAGGUGCAACUUCCUCCUCAGCAGUCCUAGAGAAGAAGGAAUGCUUCCUGCAUGACCUCUGACCCAGGCGCUGGGAGCCCCCACAGAACCUUGAGAACCUGGGGGUUUGCUGCUGUUUUCCUCGUAACAGGUUUCAAGCCCUUUGGAGCAAAAUGGAAAAUAUCUGGCUUUCUGAUCUAAUUCCUGGAUGACAUUUCAAGCUGGCCUUUGACUGACUGUGGACCAGAAGGAUGCCUUGCUAUUUGCACUGUGAUUAGAGCUACGCGUAAUAAGCAAAAGAAGAAUACGAUUUUGCCAUUUCAGGGUGUUUUCAUUUGUCAACCCACCCCCUCCCAAAAGAAAAUAAAUAUAAA